rnacentral:rRNA from 1 species
GAACCAUUAUUUAUAUUUAAUAACUCCUGUUAACUAUAAUUAAUGGUGAUACAAAAUCGGAAGCCCCGACUGUUUACUAAAAACACAGCUGUCUGCAAUGAUGAAAAUCAUAGUAUAGAUAGCGAGGUUUGCCCGAUGCCAUAAACAUAAGAGAAGUAAUAGGUAACUGUUAAAUAUCGAAAGUCUGGUUAAUAGCGGUCUUAACUAUGAGGAUCCAAAGGUAGCAAAAUAAAUUGGCCAUUAAAUGUGGUCCGGUAUCAAUAAUUUAACGAUGGCUUCACUGUCUCUACAACUUGCUCAGUGAAAUUGAAUUGCGAGUGCAGAUGCUCGCUGCCCAAAAGAGGACGGGAAGACCCUAUGCAGCUU